UGGGAAACUGUGGUAUAUACAGACUUGUAAUCAUUGUGUUGCUGUAUGCUGAGUUUAUAUUCUGUGUUUUCAGGUGCUUGAGAUAAAGUGUAGAAAAAAUACAAACCAAAGGAAGAUUUUCAGGAAGCCAGAAAGGCUAAAAGGGGACAGAUCAUGUGGUGUCUGUCUUUCCCUCACACUCUGAGGGAGCACAGAGGUGAACCAGGAAAAGGAAGGUUCACAAAGGAGUCACCAGUGGAAGUGGUGGUGGAUUCAGAUGAUGAAAGGGGAAUAAAGAUGAAUAGCAUAAGCUUCAAUUUUGCAGAUACAUCGUCAGACGUGGAUUCCUACCCACAUAGAAAGUAAUCCAAAGAUCUGAAGGGACCAGAUCUGAUCUUCAGAGUCUUACAAUUUAUGUCUGUGCAAAGUAGGUGCAAAGUACUACCCAACAAGACUCAUCUGUUACAGUGAUAGCCAGUCUGUCUGCCUUUAGUGACAGCUGCAGGUGUUCAGUAGUCACUGGCCACACAAACACUUCAUGUGCCUUAAGGCUGUGGAUUCAUAAUACUCUAAUACAUUAGUACCCUCCAUAUUUUCCUAUUCCCACAAGUCACUUCUUUUUUGCCAUAGGAUAACUAUGUGUGGGACCAACCUCUGAACCAAAUGGGGGAAUGGAUUCAUCUUAAGGAAUUUGCAUCCAAACUGAGUUUCUGUGGUGUUCCAAACAGAACAGAACAGUUAAAACCAGUUUUAAAUGAAUUGUAUCUAGCUUUCUAAAUCAGGAUCGGUAUUUCAAAGCCAAUUCAGAGUGCAGCCCCACAAAUAGUAUCUCUGAAAGAUCGGGGAGGACAGCAAAGGCAGGAUUAGAAUGAAUAAAUGAGGCUGGAUGAACAAGGUAUGCCUGAAACUGGUAUUUAUCUUUUAUACUGGUAUUUAUCUUUUAAGCCCACAGCUGUAGGGCACAGUUUGUCACAUAUUAUGGCAGGCCAGCCAGCUCCUAUUUCUAUUACUUUAGUGCAGGUAUGUUUUUUAUAGUGCAUGUAAGGAUUUAAUCAAUCUUAAAUAAAAAAAAAGAGAGAGGAGAGGCCAAAAUCAGCCCGUAAACUGUGGACAAUGAGGUUGGCCUUGUCUGUCCCCUCAUCCACAUAAAGCAAAGCACUGGACAUUGGGAAGCAAUAGUUGAAUGAUGGCAAGUCAACCUAAGUCAACGUCCCAACUACUUUACCCACAGUGUUAGCAGCAGCAGCUGAAUGAUGGUAAGUCCAAGUUAUGUCCCAGACAUCUGCUUUACCUAGAGCACUAUCAGUAUGUUGACUGUACUCACUGCAUAGCCACACCCAGGUUAUGUCAGGCAGUUUUCUCUUCUGUGUGCCCUAGGAGUCUUUCCCUUUUCCUUACCACCAUACAAUUAUGUGUAAAAAAACACAAUACUAAUGUAUUGUAACUAUGUCACACUGCACUUGAAAUAGUUACUUGAGAAAACCAAGGAAAGACUGAACACAAGGUGAUACUUCCUGUCAAACAAGGGUGUGCCACGUUAGCAGAGGGCAGUAGAAAGGAGGUGUGGUAGUAUUGGCACUUAUAAAACAGCUCUGUCAGAGCAUUUUAUCACAACUCCAGCAAAUUGGGAAGAGAAAGGGCAGAACUCAUUCCAUCUGCAUGCCAUGUGCUUACUUAUUAUCUAUGUUUAUAAAGCAAUUCUGUGCUUAUUAAGUGAUAAAAUGGACUGACUUGCAUCAGAUGAUCUCUUAAAUUAAAAAUUUCUACAGUACACCAAAGGGAAGAACAUAUUUAGUGCAUGUGUGUUUAGUACAAACAUAUUAGUAUGUGUGCAUGGUAUGUAACUAUAUAUUCUUGAAUACAUUUACAUACUGCAGUGUGACAACAUUUCUUCUCAGAAGUUCACAUCACUCUAAUGUCGACAAGAUAUAUUACUAAGGACACUACUAUCUUACUUCCAUCAUUUAUUUCACAGCACAAUAAAAUCUGUGAUCAAGGCAAAGGAACAACGGUAUUUGCUUAUCCAUACUCAGAAGUUAAAAUGAACAGAUGAUUUGUUGAAUAGAAGCAAUGACAUUAAUUUGAGUGAGAAUCUGAUGACUGUAUCUACAUAAAUAUAUAAUACAAUUCAGUAUUAACUAGGGUCUUCCAUGCAAGCAAUUGCAUCUAGAGGUACUGUAGAAGAACAUGGGAUACCUGCCAAAACUGUAGUUGUCUUUCUUAGUUGUAAAUGAUAGAGUAGAAGUAAAACGGCAUAUUAAUUCUGCCAGUCUGUUAAUAACUAGUCCAGCAAGACUAAGGCCGUGUACUUUCAAUACAAGACAACCAAAACCAAAAUACAAAAGCUGUGUAAGAGAUUUGAUUUAAUGGAAAAGAUUGUUCCAUUCUUGAGAAUGGAUGUGAUAGGAUGCAGAUCAUGUGUGAAAUCCCCGUGUCAAUUCCUGAAUGUGCAAUAAUUGGUAAUGAAGUUGAUUGGAAAAAAAUAAUCCCUAUGAAGAUGAAAGAUCAAGAAACGACUGUACAGUAGUGGCCUAUGGUGUCUCAUUUGGAUGUUCGUACUUGUAUUCAUCAGCAUAUUAUAAAAAAUUCAUCAAUGAAUUAUCCUUAAAGCCUAAGUGCUUCAACAGCUGUUUAAGUUUUGCUUAAGUUUUGCAUUUAUGUUUUACUUCUGUUUAUUCUUUGGUGAGAAAAAGAUGUGCAUUAGCAUAUCCUCAUGUGGAAUAAGUUUAAUUAAAUUAUAAUGAAGAAACAAAUAUUAGAGCAGCUGAGUCGAAUGGGAAUUAAACAUUAUAGGAACACACCCUCAUUUUUAUCGGUGUUUUAAGUCAACUGAGGGCUUGUGGUACAAUUAAAUAAAAAGCCAAAGCUAUACAUGUUACUGUUCUCUGCCAAGAUGCUCUCAUGAGGCUGGUAUCAAGUUGUCAGUAAAGCCUGAGAAAGCGUAACUUGUAUUAAGUCAUCAUUAGUUGUGCAAUUUGGUCUGUUGUUUUUCACUGAGCCAUUUUUACUUCCAGUAUACAGUCUUUUGUAUUCACUUGCUGAUGAAUUCUUUCAUCACUGCUAUCUUGCAGAAUUGCUUGUCAGCUCUCAGUAUGUGAGAGUAGUGUAUAGCAUGAUCUUCUGAUGUGGAUGGUAACACUUACACUUCAUACAUUGUCGAAUUGUAUUUUAUGUUGGAGUUGAAAAUCCAUGUUUCAGAUAGCUUUGGCUGAUUACGUGUUUCAGUGAAUUUCUGAAAACUUUUUUUACCUCCAGUGUGAAGGUGUAGAAGUGAAUGAAAGUUAAUAUUUUGGCUUUUAGAUAUUGCAGUUUGAGUUAUCAAUAUAUGUGCUUCUCUUCACUAAAUUGUGGUGGUGGUGCUGGGGGCAAGGAAGCUGGCGGUGCUUUUGUUGCAUUAUAGCAGAACUAACAACUUACAACUCACAUAAAAUCUUUUUUUUUUACUGCUGUUUGCACUGACAUGUGUAAAGUGCAAUAUACUUUCAGUGGCCAAAUAAAGAUGUAUUAUCAGUGUGUGUCUUGAUCUAAGACAAAAUAUUAAUUUGCCUAAGAAAUAAUAUUUUCUGCUGAAUUUUUCAUUUUCAUGUUGUACCUGAGACUAUAAAAAAUGUUACUGAUUGCAUUGAGAAUUUAUUUGGGCAGAUUUUAGGAGCAAUAAAGCUUUACAGAAAGUGAUUUUGCAGUCACAAGUAAGGCAGAUUGAAAGGUUCAGGAAGUACUUGCAUAUUCAUCUCAUUAGGUAACAGAAAUCCUAUCACAUGGCUUGUCUGAUUUACACAGCUUAAAGAUCCUGUCUCAACUAGUUUCAGUGAAUUAUUUGAAAGAUCAGAUUGGCCAGUAGGAAAAAGUUUCUCAUCAGCAACGUAGUUGCAGUGUUGGAGCAGGUUAUUCCUGGAGGUUUGGAAUCAUUGUCCUUGGAGGUUUUCAGGACUCACCCAGACAAAGCACUGGUGGUUCAAUCUGGUGUUGGCGUAGUCCAGCUCUGACCGCAGUGUUGGACAGGAGGACUUCCAGAGGUCCCUACCUGCUAAUAUUUCAAUGAUUCUAAUUCCAGAAAACUGCUUAAAGAUUUAUUUGAAGGGAAACAUGAUUUCUAAGGAGACAAAAAUCUAAAUUUACUGUGUAAUUGUUUAAACUGGUAACCUUAGUGUAAGUUUAUAAUAAUAUUAAUGAAGGACAGUACCAUGCAGGUGCAUUUGGUCCAUCCAUAAGUUUCAUAGAAAAAUAGAACUUUGAUAUUCAAAAGCCUGCAAUCUGCAGAAACUAAACAACAUACACUUCAUUGGAAUUAAGUGGGAGCCGAGUAUGAAUACAGCUUUUGUAGGAUUGGGACAAUGGAUUGAUUUUCAGCCCAUAAAGGAGAGAAACGACGUAAAAUGAUAGAGAAAGCAAUUUCAUUUUUAUUUAUGUAGCCUAGUCAUCAGUUUUACAUUUUAGUUUGAGUCAAAAAGAAAUUAAAUUCCAGUGGUGCAGGAUUGUGAGUGAGUGCUUUCAGUGUGGCUUGGUGAGGGUAGUAUCUGCAGGGUACCAAUCCAUCAGAAACCACCUUUCUGACACAUUU
rnacentral:lncRNA from 1 species